rnacentral:rRNA from 1 species
CCUACGGGAGGCAGCAGUGGGGAAUAUUGGACAAUGGGGGGAACCCUGAUCCAGCCAUGCCGCGUGUGUGAAGAAGGCCCUCGGGUUGUAAAGCACUUUCAGUGAGGAAGAACGCCUGGUGGUUAAUACCCAUCAGGAAAGACAUCACUCACAGAAGAGGCACCGGCUAACUCCGUGCCAGCAGCCGCGGUAAUACGGAGGGUGCGAGCGUUAAUCGGAAUUACUGGGCGUAAAGCGCGCGUAGGUGGCUUGAUAAGCCGGUUGUGAAAGCCCCGGGCUCAACCUGGGAACGGCAUCCGGAACUGUCAAGCUAGAGUGCAGGAGAGGAAGGUAGAAUUCCCGGUGUAGCGGUGAAAUGCGUAGAGAUCGGGAGGAAUACCAGUGGCGAAGGCGGCCUUCUGGACUGACACUGACACUGAGGUGCGAAAGCGUGGGUAGCAAACAGGAUUAGAUACCCUUGUAGUC